rnacentral:rRNA from 1 species
UACAGAGGUCUCAAGCGUUGUUCGGAUUCAUUGGGCGUAAAGGGUGCGUAGGUGGCAUGGUAAGUCGGAUGUGAAAUCCCGGGGCUCAACCCCGGAACUGCAUUCGAUACUGCUGAGCUAGAGUACUGGAGAGGAGAUUGGAAUUUACGGUGUAGCAGUGAAAUGCGUAGAUAUCGUAAGGAAGACCAGUGGCGAAGGCGGGUCUCUGGACAGUUCCUGACACUGAGGCACGAAGGCCAGGGGAGCAAACGGG